UAGUUGUUGCUCUUGGCCCUUCCUACAUGA
rnacentral:piRNA from 1 species